UAUUUAUUGAUCUCACCAUGGAAUCUAGUAUAACGGUGGUUAAUCAGACAGUAUGCUUCCUACACUUUCGACUUUCGAUCAUAAAUAGACACAGCUGCCAUGGAAACUCACAAUUGAAGAAUUACCAACAAGAAGGUGGAAAAGCAGAGAACAAGGCCAUUUCUCUCCUCUUCAAAAUCCUGGAGGCUGGCCUUGCCCACUUUCAAAUGGGUUUCCAAACAACAGACGGUGUUCCACUCAGUGGUAUCCUGGAAAUGUUCAACAGCUGGCUCCCUGGGAAAACAAAACAAAACAGCAAACAAGUCUUGACAUGCAGCACUUGCCAGUUCCCGUGGUGUCAUAUUCCCAUGUUGGCUAAUUUUAAGCUUCGGGUCUGACCUCAUUGAGCCGGGAAGAGAUGUGCUUAGCAAGCUUCUGCUGCAGAGCCUUUUGGAUGAAGCAGGAGAAUACAGGUGAAUUCUGAUGACGCUGUGAUAAAAUGCUCCUUCAUAAGGAAAGCUGUAAAGUGAAGCCAGCAAACGUCCAGAUGAGGGUGUCCUGUGCCAGCUCGUCCAUCCAGCUGGAUUUGCACCGGAUUAAAGUGAUUGUACCUGACUCCUUAUCUAAGGGUCUGCUUCUAACAUUUCCACAGUGAGACAAAAUUUGUUGAUUCCAGAAGUUAAUGGAAAGAUGCAGAAACUGAGACACACAGAAGCUAAGUUGCUCAGUGUCACACAAGUGGUGAGGACAAGUUUGAGUCCGAGUGGUUUGUCUCAAAAGUGCUCAGAAGGACUCCACCAUGGACUGGGGUGUACUCUGCUGUCUGGAGAGGAGUGUUCAAAACUUCAGGGGAGCGUCUGUGUGUGGAGGCCCUUGCCUGCAAUCCCAGCUACUCCAGAGGUUGAGGCAGGAGGAUUGCAAGUUCCAGGCUGCCCUAGACAACUUAGUGAGGCCCUGUCUCAAAAUAAAAUUCAAAAUAAAGGACUGGGAAUGUAGCUCAGUGGUAGAAGGCUUGCCUAGCAUGAGCAAGGCCCCUUGGUUCAAUCCCCAGUACUACAAAAAUAAAACAAAAGAAAUUUAAAGGGAGCAGAGGCAAAGGACAUGGAGAGAGUCCUUUGGUAGAUGAAAGUGAGAAGUUCAAUUAUACUAACACUUCCCAGUCAUUCAAGAUGUUUGUACUUCUAGUAAGAGAUGAGAUAGUGGUAACUAGCAAGAAGUAUGCUGGAGUUUUGAACUCUACCUGCUAAAAAUCAUAAUAUACAGAGCCUACGCAUUUGGAAUCUCAAGGAGGACUUUUUAAUCAGAGGUAGAUAGAAAUAAAAAGUGCUUACUUAGCCUGGAGCUGAAUGUAAUUUUGAGUUGAAAGCUUAAUUAUCUAAAUUUCACCUAUGUGAGCAAUCGUAUUCUGUUUAUAUAAUUCUAUUUUAAGACAUGAGUUUAAAAUAUGGCUUUGCUAUAAAUAAAUAUCUGUUUUUACAUACAAAGACCACUGGUGAGAUACAAAGAUGCUUUAAUUUUUUCUUUUCUAGGGCUUUAGAUGUUUAAGAAAAUCUACGCUAUAGUAUCCAACUGAUAAGUCAGUUUAAUGACACUACCAGUAAGAGUGUAAAGGAGAACAAAGCAGCUAAAAAGUAAUCUCUUUCCUUAUUCCUGCAUUAUCUUUAUAAGAUACACAGUCUAUCGUCUUUCUUUUGCUUAAUAAAAAAAUUUAAUCAGUAUCUCCUUUGUCUACAGAAUACACCACCAUUUGGCUUUCACACUUCUAGCCUCUUGUCCCACCUUUUCAGGCUCUGUGCACUUGGGAUUUUUCAGUCUUCUCUCCAUAGCCAUACAGGGUCAAAGCCCUUCAAUCCUUGUGUCCACUCCAUGUGGUUCUCAGUCCCUGAUUAUCUGUGUCCUUAUGCCAGGGGUAGGCAAGCUCAGCUCUCAGCCUGUCCCGAAGCCCCUACCACUAUCCAGAGAGGACUACUGAUGACCCUCUGCCAUGUUCCCAUAACAUUUUGAGGCUUUCGCCUAAGUUUUCGUUUCUGUGGUGAUGAGUUAGGUAUAAUAUCUUCUCAUUCUAAGGUUUAGUUAGGUAUAUUUACAGAAUCAAGAGGAUUUGAAUUGGAAAGUGCCCUAGAGAUCAGCUAAGACAACCUUCUCAUUUCACCAGAAAUAACUGAAAUUUUAGGAGACAUAUCCAUUUUGUUAUUUCUGGUUAGUCAUAGAACUCAAACUAGAACUUUGUCCUGACCCUGUGCUUUUUUUUUUAUAAAAUAUGCUGUAGACAAUGUCAUUUUUUCCUUUAAAUUGUCCCUGUUCUACUUCACAGAAUCCAAGGAAAUGUUAGAUUACAUGACAAAGGGCCAUUAAGUUUGUAGACAGAAUUAAGACCAAAUUUAAAAUGGGGAAAUUAUCCUGGAUUCUCUGGGUAGAACUUUUGUGGUCAGAAAAGUAUUUUUAAAUGUGGGAAAGGAAGGCAGAAGAGUGUCACAGUGAUGUGAUAGGAGAAAGAUUGGCCAUACUGGCUUUGAAGAUGGAAGGAGGCCAUGAACAAAGGAGUGUGGGUGAUGUCUAGAAACUGAAAAGGGUAAGAAAAUGAAUUUUCUCCCACAAUCUCCAAAAGAAAUAUAUUUCUGACAGCACUUUGAUUUGGGCCCAGUGACACCCAGUUAGACUUCUGACAUCCACAACUAUACUAUAAGAUGAUAAAUUUUCUGUUUUUAACCUGCUAAAUUCAUGGUAAUUUAUUUUAACAACAAUGGGGAAUGGCUAUAAGCUUCUACAUGCAAAUAGCAUUAAAUGGGUAAUUCAAGGCUUAAUACAGAGCAAUUUGAACACUGAAAUUUCUUAAAAGGCAUAUUUUAUUUUCACAAAAUUUGUAUUUAUUUUGAAUGUUUUUGGUUUUAUUUAUUCCUUCCAACAGAUUUCUAUUAAAUGUGUGCCAUUUGCUGUAUCAGACAUUAUGGUAGAUUGAAUAGCCAUCUCCUUGUUGCUGUCUCCUUGAGGAUAAAAUGCUAAUUUCUGAUGUCUUUUUCUUUUCUGGUACUGAGGAUUGAACCCAGAGCCUUCACAGGGUACUACAUCUCCAGUCCUUUAUUUUUUAUUUUGAGACAGGGUCCUACUUAGUCACCAAGUUGCUCAGGCUGGGUUUGAAGUUGCAAUCCUUCUUCCUCAACUUCCCAGAGUGCUGGGAUUAUUAGCAUGUACCACCACACCCAGAUUCUUAUGCUUUGACUUUCUAAUUUGUUUUGGACAUUUGCAUGUGGGCAGAAGAAAUGUGCCACUUUUGAGCAAAGUUUAUUAAUUCUGCUUGCUUUCUUAUGGCUUUGUGAUGUUACUGCUUUAAAAUGAGGCUCCCCAUGUUAUCUGCUACCUAAUCUGGACAACACUUGAAACACUUGAAAGAGUUCCCACAGACUUGUGAGGAAGCUACAUGCUUAUUUUGCUAUGCCAAUGGUACUACUGAGUGUGUUACAUAGUCAUAACAGUAGAUGACUGGCUUUGUCAUGUAAACAAAUGACCUACACACUUUUUAAAGAGUUUUAAUAGUAGAAACAUAUGCAGUUAAUGGAAUUAUCUCAUAGUAUAAAGGAGUGUUUUAUCAAAGAGAAGUCCAGGAGGCUUUAUAGAUAGGGUAAUAGCUGAGCUGAAUCAGAAAGGAUGGAAAUAAUUUCUCUAGUCUGUAAAAGGUGUGACUUGAGUAGAUGAGAAAGGCUCUUCAGGGUAAAUAUAAUACUGUCUUAAUCAAAACACCCAACACCCACACCUCAAAGGAGGAAAAGUUUAUUGUGACUCAUAAUUCCCGUCCAUGGUUGGUUGGCUUCAAGGCAGAAACAGGGCAACAGAGGGGCAUGGUAAAGGAAAAGGAAAAGGAAAAGGUGCUUAACCCAUGGUGUCCAGGAAGCAGAUGAAAAUGGAGGAGGUGGGGAAGGAGAUGCACCUUUACAGGUCUCACUGCCAGUGACCCACUUCUUCCUACUUGGCCCUGCCUCUGACCAGCACAUUUCAUUAUAAUCCAUUGAUGAGUAAAGUGCCUCCACAAUCCAGUCACUUUCCAAAACACAGGAAAAUUUGAAAGGGCAUUUUAGAUCUAAACCAUAACACAUAUCUUUAAGCAAAUUUAAAGGAAAUUUAGUGUCAACUGAAGGCACUAGGAAAUAUGCCUUUAUUUUACUCUGGGUUUGUCUUUUUUGAUAGUUUUCCCAUAGAACUUGCAAAGUAAUAUUUCUCAAGUAAAUAAAUAGGUAUUAUGUAUGAUUUCUGAGAUGACCACAAAAUUGUGAUGUAAUUCUUUAAGGAGCAGAGACAGCAGGAAAUAAAGAGGAACUAGUUUUCAAAGGCUUCCUAUGGUGCAGGUAGAUUCUCUGUCUCCUUCUUAGCAAAGGUAAUUCCCUGUCUCUCCACUGAUAGGACACUGCUAAUGCCACCCCUCUUUUUCUGACAUUAUUUUCAGUGCAGAAUUGCUUUUUCCAGCUGAAUUACUCCUGGAUCACUUUGGAUUUUCAAGUGGUUUUAAGUACACAUGCAAGUCAAUACCAAGAACAACUAAGAAAUUGAUAGGAAGGUCAUGUCUUUUAAAUUUGUAAACUAUGCCAUGAGUGGGGCUAGGAGACCAUGGCACUUGUUUCAUUCUUUGGUGUAUUGGUCUUUCUUAGGUUCUGGGACAUCCUACUGUACCCUAACCCUAGAUAGUCUUUUUCCAAACAGACACCUUUAGUCACAAGGGAAAGGUAAGACAAUGGUAAGUCUUUCCUUUCAGGAAGAAUAGCAUAAUUUUCCAACUCACUGUGGAUCAGCAGUAUCUUUCUGUCUGAUAAGAGAGAUACAUGUCAUGAUUUUAACAGAGUUUGAAUUUGUUCCACAGAGUAGACUUGAAACUAUGUAAAAUCUUAUGCACAUUGCCAUGUGUGCCUCACCUCCUUCUAUCAUAUCUAAAAAUUUCAAUUUUAAUUCCCAUGUAAUUUACUUUUGUUAUUUAAAAAUUUUCAUAUUCACAUAGCCAAAUUCUAUGCAACUUGCAGAAAAAAUGCGUACUAUUUCUGUCAAAAAUUGCAUGCAAUUCUAAAAUAAGCAGAGUUGAAGAUGUUAAUGAAAAGAGAUCUGCAAGUGUAACUAAUAUGAUCUCAUUGUUAAACAAUUCACCAAAUAAAUGCCGUGGUUGGAUUUAGAUACCAGAUGUCAAACCACAUAGUAAUGAAGAUACAGUUGCUUGCUUCCCUGUCACUGGUCGCCAGAAAGAAACAGAUGGUUAAAAAGAUAUGUAGCUGAGGCAAGGCAUGGAAAUAGGAAACCACAGAGUAGAAAUUCUGCCUUUUAAGUAACAGUAAUUUUCUAGUCUGGAAAACAUGGUGUUUUAUACCUCCUCUUAUGCACUUAAGCAGUUUAAAUGUGAAACAUAGCAAAAAUAGUCCAAGCAAGGCUGGCAACUUGCAAAUUUUGCAGUGCAUAGUUGCAUCUCAAAAAUCUUGGAGGCAGACGUACAACAGUAAAAGGCAAACACUUGUAAGCAGUUGAAUACAAUUAUGUGGUGGUUAUUACCUAAGCUCAUUACAGCUUCAGAAGGGGUUCUGUGAACUUGUGCUCUAACUAGUAGGUCAGGCAAAAUGCAAAUAAGGACUAAAUUUGAAAGCAAGUAACAUAAAAACCAGAUACAAUUUAGACUGGGAGUCUAUAAUUUGGGUUUAAAAAAUAAGCCUCAGCAAGAAUCAUCCUCAUUACAAUAAUGGCUUGUUUAUUCUGCACAACUUGUUUACAAUUACAGACCCUCUUUAAAAGCUGAUUUUAACAGGAAAUAGGAGCAUGCAAAGAGACAGAGCAGGGAUGGGGGGAAGAGACAGAGAGAGAGAGAGAGAGAGAGAGGAGAGAGGAGAGAAGAGAGGGCAAGGGCUUCAUGGUUGGUCAGUUGUUAUAAUUAGAGUAGAUGCAUAUAUGUAUUGCAAAACCAUUUAUGCCUUUACUCCAAAUCUUUUAAUUUCAGAUUUCUGUCACUGAAAUAUAAAGUCUCAAAUAGUCUAUUAUUCCAAAGAUAUCAUUAUAAUUGAAUUUCUAAUGAGAGUGUCUAUGGAGCUUUGUUCCUAGUAUUUCCAUUAUGACAUUGGAAUCCUCUUUAUCUAUUAUGGUCAGGUGACCAUGAAAUGAUGAGCUACAGCUGUUACAGGGCAUGUGUCUGCUGGGGCUUAAUUUAUAGUAAAUACACAUUUUAUUGCUAAUAUGUUUUUUUUUCUCAUUCAUUUCUUCAAAUAGUCAUUCAAAUAUUCAGGGGAACCUGGAAGGAGGCAGAGAUAAUGCUCAGGAUAACCAGAUGCCUGGGAUUGAAUCUUGAUCUUGUUACUAACUGCGUAAUCUUGGGCCUCUGUGUCUCAGCCUUCUUUUCUUUAUAAUGAAGGUGGUAACUCUCUUGUAGAUUGUUGUGAAGUUUAAAUAAAUUAAUACAUCUUAAGAGCUCAGAAAAGUCCCUGCCACAUAAUAAUAUGCUACCUAUUGUUAUUAUUCUUUGCUGGACCUUGGGAACAUAGUGGUGAUCGGGAUGUGCUCGAUCUCUUCCUUUACAGAACUAACGUUCUUGGGGAGAGAGGAGAUGGCAUUAGGCAGCUAGUCAUCCACUUAAUUACUUUUGUGGUAAGUGCAGCAGGAAAGUAUCAAAGUGAAGCUGUUGUAUAAAAUGGGGACUUGACCUGUUUGGGGUAGAUUUCCAGCUUCUAGAAGUGACAUUUGCUCUCUAAAGGAUGACUAAGAAUUAUUUAGGAAGUUAGAAAUCAGGAGAACAUGUAGGGAGAUUGCUUUGCUUACAGAAGCAAAAUGGGAGAUGAAAGGUAUAAUGCGGCAAACUGCUUAGAACUCACACUUCCAUACUCUGUGGCUGGAAACAAUUCAGUUACAAUGGUUUGAUCAUAGACUGAGUUUUCUUGUCAUUGAUUCCUUUUGUUCUUCCACUUAGACUCCUUGAUCCUUUGUGGAUCCUUUAUCCAUGAAACACACUGUAAAAUCCUGGGGUUUUCAUUGGUUAGAUGCCUCUGUUUUCUUACAAGCUCAUGACAAAGUCAUUUCUCACUAUAUUUUGUUGUUUUCAGCAAGUCAACUAAAGUUAGAAUCCAAAAAUACAUGUAAAUAGAAGUGCAUGUAAAUAGAGGUGUAUGUAUGUUGUAUAUAAUUUUACAUUAAAUUUAUAACUAUUUUUACAAAUUGACCAUACCAUUUGUAGAAUUUUGCAUUCUGCUUCUUUAUUGAGAUUUUAUGUGAACUUUUUCUUGUAUCAUAGUAUUCUUUGAAAAUAAAGAUUUAAACUAUAAUGCAUGGCUGUUCAGUUGUGUGAUUGAUCCCAUUUUGUGAACAUGGCUGAACAUUUUAGAUUGCAUCCAAAUGUUUAUCAUCAUAAAUAAUGCCGUAAAAAUGUUUACUGGAGUGCUUUUAGAUAAGUCUCCUUAGAGUGGCGCAUUGUCAGAAAUAAUAUUGGUAUAUCAAGGACCGUUUAUUUCUUUUUAAGUUUCUUUGUAUAUAUA
ensembl:lncRNA